rnacentral:rRNA from 1 species
UCCCUACACGACCGUACCGCAAACCGACACUGGUGCGCGAGAUGAGUAUUCUAAGGCGCUUGAGAGAACUCAGGAGAAGGAACUCGGCAAAUUGACACCGUAACUUCGGAAGAAGGUGUGCCUUUAGUAGGUGAAGUCCCUCGCGGAUGGAGCCCAAUGAGGUUGCAAAAAAUCGGUGGCUGCGACUGUUUAUUAAAAACACAGCACUCUGCAAACACGAAAGUGGACGUAUAGGGUGUGACGCCUGCCCGGUGCUGGAAGAUUAAAUGAUGGGGUGCAAGCUCUUGAUUGAAGUCCCAGUAAACGGCGGCCGUAACUAUAACGGUCCUAAGGUAGCGAAAUUCCUUGUCGGGUAAGUUCCGACCUGCACGAAUGGCGUAACGAUGGCCACACUGUCUCCUCCUGAGACUCAGCGAAGUUGAAAUGUUUGUGAUGAUGCAAUCUCCCCGCGGAAAGACGGAAAGACCCCAUGAACCUUUACUGUAGCUUUGUAUUGGACUUUGAACAGAUCUGUGUAGGAUAGGUGGGAGGCUUUGAAGCAGGGUCGCUAGAUCUUGUGGAGCCAACGUUGAAAUACCACCCUGGUGUGUUUGAGGUUCUAACCUAGGCCCGUAAUCCGGGUUGGGGACAGUGCAUGGUAGGCAGUUUGACUGGGGCGGUCUCCUCCCAAAGUGUAACGGAGGAGUUCGAAGGUACGCUAGUUACGGUCGGACAUCGUGACGAUAGUGCAAUGGCAUAAGCGUGCUUAACUGCGAGACUGACAAGUCGAGCAGAUGCGAAAGCAGGACAUAGUUAUCCGGUGGUUCUGUAUGGAAGGGCCAUCGCUCAACGGAUAAAAGGUACUCUGGAUAACAGGCUGAUACCGCCCAAGAGUUCAUAUCGACGGCGGUGUUUGGCACCUCGAUGUCGGCUCAUCUCAUCCUGGGGCUGUAGCCGGUCCCAAGGGUAUGGCUGUUCGCCAUUUAAAGAGGUACGUGAGCUGGGUUUAAAACGUCGUGAGACAGUUUGGUCCCUAUCUUCCGUGGGCGCUGCAGAUUUGAGGAAGCCUGCUCCUAGUACGAGAGGACCGGAGUGGACGCACCUCUGGUGUAUCGGUUGUCACGCCAGUGGCAUUGCCGAGUAGCUAUGUGCGGAAGAGAUAACCGCUGAAAGCAUCUAAGCGGGAAACUCGUUUCAAGAUGAGAUCUGCCGGGGCCUUGAGCCCCCUGAAGAGUCGUUCAAGACCAGGACGUUGAUAGGUCGGGUGUGGAAGCGCAGUAAUGCGUUAAGCUAACCGAUACUAAUUGCUCGUGCGGCUUGACCUA